AGGAAAUUGGAGGGAAACGUCAGAGACAGUGAUUCAGUCCGUCACCACUUUUCCAUUUUUAAUCGAUGACCUGUAAGCUGCCAACAUCACUCUUGACGCAAAUGCUUAUCCUAAAGGAUAUCCCAGCAUUCCUCUCACAUCAAUCACGUGUGUGUCAGGUCUUAUUUUUCAGGUGAUGAACCAAAACCCUGUCUACUGGUGCAAGAAAUGACUCUGAUCAUUGUUAUUGUGAGACUUGACUGAUCAUCUUCUGAAGAAAACAGGACUGUUUCCACAUGCAAAAGUUGCCGGCACAAUGCUAAUGUGUUUUUGAGUUGUUCUGAAGAGGUUUUAAUGCAUUUCAGAGCUAGAGUAAUAGUAAGGCACACACUCUUUGACUAUGAAACAUGACUGUCUGCUCUCUUCACUGUAAACAGUGAGGCCUCGACUGGGUUAAAGGGAAAACUCGAUUAUCCCCGGAGUCCAGCGAUGUUUUUUUGGAGGACAUCCAGUCUGUGCCUGUUCCACUGGAGCUCUGAAAAACAUCCCGGCCCGAUCGGCACACCUUGCAUGAUUCAAGACCAGGCGGUGGUCGUUUAGCAUUGGUCAUUUUGAUAUAAGAUCUGUAUAUGCAUGAGUGUUUACAUUGGCAGGCGUUAUGCACAAAAUCCUUAAAGGAGGCGUUUCUGUUACUGAAACAAAGCUUAUGUGACUUGAAAUAUAGAGCAUAUGGAGUCUAUAAAUAUAACUGUACUGUUAUGCUAAUUCCAAUGUGUUUUACAGAUUUACGAGAAAUAACCGUUUGUUCAGAAAUGGUCUUUUUGUGUUCAGCAUGAGGGUGAGUAAAUGCCUGAAAUGUUCAUUUGAUGUGCGUUUGGCAAGAGCUCCCCAGCUGUGAUCAUAUCAUGCAUGAGGACAUCAGAACUAUCUCAGUGGAUGAAAACGAGCUAUAUUUAUCUGAAAUAAAGAGGAAACCAUGAAGACUUAUGGUUCCCUCCAGAUUGUAUAAUGUUGCUUUUAAGUUUAUGAGUGAAAUAAGGUCUGUGCUAAACAUAACUUGAGGAAAUUUGAAGAUUUUGUUCUGCAAUGUAAACUGCACACACUUUCUAUCUAGUUACUUAUUAGAAACUAUGAUUUAAAUGGGUGGUAAAAUGCCAUUUUCAUAAGAUGUCCCCAGAGUGUGUGAAGUUUAAUCACAAA